rnacentral:rRNA from 1 species
GAUGAACGCUGGCGGCGUGCCUAAUACAUGCAAGUCGAGCGAACAGACGAGGAGCUUGCUCCUCUGACGUUAGCGGCGGACGGGUGAGUAACACGUGGAUAACCUACCUAUAAGACUGGGAUAACUUCGGGAAACCGGAGCUAAUACCGGAUAAUAUAUUGAACCGAAUGGUUAAUUAGUGAAAGACGGUUUUGCUGUACCUUAUAGAUGGAUCCGCGCCGCAUUAGCUAGUUGGUAAGGUAACGGCUUACCAAGGCGACGAUGCGUAGCCGACCUGAGAGGGUGAUCGGCCACACUGGAACUGAGACACGGUCCAGACUCCUACGGGAGGCAGCAGUAGGGAAUCUUCCGCAAUGGGCGAAAGCCUGACGGAGCAACGCCGCGUGAGUGAUGAAGGUCUUCGGAUCGUAAAACUCUGUUAUUAGGGAAGAACAAAUGUGUAAGUAACUAUGCACGUCUUGACGGUACCUAAUCAGAAAGCCACGGCUAACUACGUG